rnacentral:rRNA from 1 species
GUGCCAGCCGCCGCGGUAAUACGAAGGGGGCUAGCGUUGUUCGGAUUUACUGGGCGUAAAGCGCGUGUAGGCGGGUCGUUAAGUUGGGGGUGAAAUCCCGAGGCUCAACCUCGGAACUGCCUUCAAAACUGGCGACCUGGACUCAAGCAGAGGCAAGUGGAAUUGCGAGUGUAGAGGUGAAAUUCGUAGAUAUUCGCAGGAACACCAGUGGCGAAGGCGACUUGCUGGGCUUGUGGUGACGCUGAGACGCGAAAGCGUGGGGAGCAAACAGGAUUAGAAACCCCUGUAGUCC